CCCACGGUGUCGCAGAGUCAGACCCGACUGAGCAACUGAACUGAAAGAAUGUUUCUGCUAGUCACCAGGAGCAGUCAUCACCGUGAAGGACUUCGGGACUUCUCUGGAUGUAAGGAGAUAACAAGAACUGGGCUCAUAAAAUCGACUCUGAAAUUAUUUAACCAUCUGAAGACUUGUUUUUCCAGUUUUUCCCAGAGCACAGAGUGCCUCUUUUCUGCCCUCCACCCUGAAUUCCUUUCAGGGAUUGUUGAAAGUCAGCAUAAUUUAAUUCUUGUAGAUGGCAAGUGCCAAUUUGUAGUUGACAGGAGCACUGUGGGAGGGAGGCAUGAGACUACUAGAAAAAAGCCAGAAAUCCUA